rnacentral:lncRNA from 1 species
CGGGACCCAGUGACUCUACAGGUGGUGUGGAAUCUACUGUCAGCUGACUGGGACUCUGUCUCCAUUCAAAUGGAUGGGCUGUGUAUAUGAAAAGCAGCUCUGCUACUCUUGUGGCCAGACAAGGCCUUCUGUGCUUUUCCAGAAUUACAUAGCUGCUUUCAGUUCUCCUUCUGGAUAAUACAAAGAAGGGCGUACACAAGGGCACAUUUGUUGUUACUUCUUUUGGAGAGCAUUUUUGGUUUUUAUUGUAGAGCAUUUCUUAUUGUAAAUGAUUGAUUCUUGCAUUCUCCUGAAAACUUUUUAAAACAAACCUUAUCUAUUGGACUAGGUUUUUAAAAAACCCAUUUUCUUGAGGCUGGCAGUGAG